GGGAAUGUGGCUUAGUGGUAGAGUGCUUGCCUAGCAUACAUGAAGUCCUGGGUUCAAUUCCUCAAUGCCA
rfam:Dipodomys ordii contig_45600, whole genome shotgun sequence.